UUUUUAAAUAACUGUUUUCUUUCUUUCUCUCUCUUUUACAAAUUGCUUGUCCGCUCUAUUUUUAAACCUCUUGCUCUUCGGUUGUUCCCUACACCCCUCCCUAGGCGCCGUCCCGUUUGGCAGAUUUGGGUCUGUAAAGGCCACACAGGCUUCUGAGCAGAGAAGAAAAGGAGAAAGGUGGGCCCCUUUAUUUAAAAAACAAAAACAAGCCAACAACAACAACCCGAGGUGACCAUAAAUUUGAGCACGCCGUUUUCCUGCCGCCCGCCGUUCCCCCCGCCGCACUGCGCAGCUGCUCCCCGUGAUGCUGCCCCCUACCGGCCGCUCGCGUCACGACAGUUUGGGCGCGGAGCUCCUUACAGACAACCCCGCUUCUUUGUGUGAGAGCCAGUGCCUGUGCCUGGCUCCCAGAGCACCGCCUGCAGCGCAGUGCAACAUCCCUCCGCAGCCUUGUGCCUUAGUGAAGAAACUAUCCCAAAUAGUUUCUUGCUGCAUCAUGCUGUGCUGCGUGCUUUCUGGUGUUGACCUUGACCUUUGUUGGGACAGCAGUUAAAACAUUUAUGUGACAGAAGACGUUUUCUGUGUGUGAUUUAAAAAACAAGGGGAAAGCGUCUGACAUCAAACAACGUCAUCAGUGUGCUGCUGCUGACAUCAGGCACUAGACGAGUUACAUCGUCUGGGCUGCAGAGAUGCAAUUAAUCUUGUUUGCUGUUAACCAGGUGAACGCAGUCAGGAGAACAACAGUGAGCAAGCUGAAGAUUAGGGAGGAAUAUGAAGGAAAUUUGGAAGGUUUGAGGUUUUGAAAACCAUCUGGGCCGGAGAGCAUCUGAGUGAAGACCAGAAGGAAGGAUUCCUGCCCUGCAUAAGUGGUGCCACAUUUAUCCAGUGGCAUCCUGACCUAUUCCCAUAGAGAAGGCAAUGAGACUAAUCAGUGGAAGAUAUAUAGAGUGAUAUUUGCCAGCUUCCAACAACCCUCCUGAUUGGUUCAGGAGCACAGUGAAGAGGUGAGAGCAUAGCAAAGAGGUGAGGCUGUGGCUGGGGCUGGACAGGGAGUGCAGAGUGCCUCAGCCUGGGAAAGAGUCACAGCUCUCCAACCCAAACUGUUAUUUGAAGACUGAGACAACAUUCCUGGCAAGACUGGAGCUUAGAAAGAAGUAAGGGGACGAGAUGGCUCAACUCUUUGGGAUGUAUUCAAACACAGCAGGUGAAUUACAAGAAGAAAUUAAAAGAAGAAAAACUACACUGAGGAAAUUACUCCCUGCCAUGUUCUAUACCAACAUCCAGUGCACAACUAAUACCAACUGUAUUAACUGUCAUCCAUUUCCUUUGGAUACUGAAUGAAUAAGGACAAUGUCCUCUAUUUAUUAUGGAAUUAUUAUGGAAUUAUUCUUCUCUUGCUGUAUAAAUCAUACAGCUUGUUUAGUGCAGACAAGUAGAGAUGCUGUAAUCUGCAUACAGUAAGCAGCUACGAGAGAUUAAUUUCACAUCUGUGGACAAGCCUCUGUGGAGUACAGUGCACUCACUGCAGGGGUAAAAGUAGCUGUUAGUUCUAAUAAGGGAUUCAAUUAAAAAAAUCAUGCGUGUCUAGAAGCCAGACAAGGAGAGCAGUUGUGCAGAUUACUUACUAAUUACUUAAGCAAGCACUUAAAGUUAUGAAAGAAAGUAUAGCCAUUGGAAGCUGCCAGGACUUUCAGCAUCUAGAUUAGGCUCAGGUCCAUGCUUCAGCAUCAUUCAUUUAAGGGCCCAUUCUGACAUACCCAGUUCAAACAACUUCUGCUUUCUCAUUCUUUCCAUCAGUCACUCAAAAGCAGCUCUGAGUUUAUACAAGGCACUGUGUUUACUGCGAUGGGGAAGAAGAUCAGGCAACAAAACAUCACAAAAGAUGUUUGAGUUUUGAAACCUCACAUUUCUGCAGCUACUCCAAAGUUGGAGCAGUGCUGGGGCUCAGUGGAGAGAGGACACUCAGCAUCACUGCUGGCUGUUGACUGCCUGGCUGAUGUCCAUCUUUGCUGGAUUGAUGGGGUCAGUGCUUUGUGGAAUUAUGUGCCUUACGAUUAACUUCAGCAGCAUGGGCCAUGUGAGCAGUGUAAAUGAGAGUGUUACCUUGAUGCAUGCACAAAAAAUGACAUUUAUCUUUACUCUUGGAACUGAAAGAGAAAGUCAGAUUGUGUGUGUGAGGGGAAUAGCAAACGGGACAAGGAUGCAAUCUCCUUGGUUCGUAAAGUGAUGCAUGCUUGGAGAAACCAGUGAGGGAGACUUGCAGUGCCCUUUCCUGAGCAGGGAAGAGAAAGGUGCUUUUGUCUGCUGCCUUAACUGUGUGCACAGAAAUGUAUCUGAAUUGUAUCUUAUGUAUUUCAGAGAGCAGAUAGAAACGGAGAAUGAAUAUAUGUUGGUAGCCUGUUACUUCUGAGCUGUAGCUGCUGCAUUUCUGGAAGUAUUGCACAACUGUACUGUAUCCAUCAUACAGCCUUACUGCUUUGAAUAAGUUCCUACUGAAUCUCCUGUCUGCCUCAUAUCAUUUUAUUUGCAUUUAUUAAAAUUAGGAAAUAUGGAACUGAAAUAAAAAGGUUAUUUUGUUAGAGCCCAUAACAACUAAGCUACCUUUGUUUUCUCUGUGCAUUUGCAUUACUAGCCCCAGCUCUGUCUUCUGAUAGGCUUUUUUUAUAACAGCGGUGACUGGGAAAUCCACCAGCUUAUUUCACUAAAUCCCCAUGUUUUUCUUCCUUGUGGACA